rnacentral:misc_RNA from 1 species
ACAUUUUCUGUAAAUUUCUAGUGUAUACCAUGUUCUCCUUUUUAUUGUGGAGGUAACCCUCAUAGAUAUAUGCCCACAUCUGCUUUUUCGGCUAAUUAAAUGUCAAAGUUGCUAAUUGUGCUUUUGAAGAUAAUUUAUCAGUUUAUUAUGACUUUUGAGAUGAAAUUUUACUGAUACACAACACUUUCUGUGAUUUGAAGUGUGGUUUGGCUUGCUAGACAGGCAACGCAAACUAUAAGCUUUUUCUGCUGGACAUUUGGUUGUGAUAAUGCAUAUAAC